AUGGCGGCCGCCGGGAGGCUCAUGGCGCUGGCCGUCGGCUUCUCUCCGCUCCUGCGGCUGCCAGGGCCCCGCGCCCCCGGGCGGCCGGGGCGCUCGCGCGGCCUCUCGUCUGGGUGCGCCCACCCCGACCGCGCCAAGGAGGCCGAGGCCGAGGCCCCCGAACGCGACGGGAGCGCGGUGGCCGCUUCUAGGGACCUAUUAAAAGAGUUCCCACAGCCCAAAAACCUUCUCAACAGUGUGAUUGGAAGAGCCCUGGGCAUCUCACACGCAAAAGACAAGCUAGUCUAUGUGCACACGAAUGGACCGAAGAAAAAGAAAGUCACCCUCCAUAUAAAGUGGCCCAAGAGUGUGGAGGUGGAAGGCUAUGGAAGCAAGAAGAUCGACGCAGAGAGACAGGCCGCAGCCGCAGCCUGCCAGCUAUUUAAGGGCUGGGGUCUGCUAGGUCCCCGCAACGAACUGUUUGAUGCGGCCAAAUACCGCGUGCUAGCCGAUCGCUUCGGCUCUCCGGCUGACAGCUGGUGGCGCCCAGAACCCACCAUGCCACCCACUUCCUGGCGGCAGCUGAAUCCUGAGAGCCUUCGGCCAGGGGCCCCCGGGGGCCUGUCCCGUUCCUUGGGCCGGGACGAGGAGGAGGAUGAAGAGGAGGAGCUGGAAGAGGGGACCAUGGAUGUCAGCGACUUCCUGUCCCUGACCCAGCAGGACCCCCACGCCCCGCCGAGAGACUCAAGGGGGGGUUCCAUUGAAAUGACCGACGACGACAGUGCUCUCAGGGCUCUGACCCAGUUUCCACUUCCCAAGAACCUUCUGGCCAAGGUGAUCCAGAUAGCGACAUCAUCCUCCACAGCGAAGAACCUCAUGCAGUUCCACACGGUGGGCACCAAGACCAAGCUGUCCACCCUCACACUGCUCUGGCCCUGCCCCAUGACCUUUGUUGCCAAAGGGCGCCGCAAGGCAGAGGCUGAGAAUAAGGCAGCAGCCUUGGCCUGCAAGAAGCUGAAGAGCCUGGGCCUGGUGGACCGGAACAAUGAGCCGCUUACCCACGCCAUGUAUAACCUGGCCUCCCUGCGCGAGCUCGGUGAGACCCAGCGACGGCCAUGCACCAUUCAGGUGCCGGAGCCUGUCCUCCAAAAGAUAGAGACCUUCCUGACCCACUUCCCUGUGGACAGUUCGUGGAUCUCCCCAGAGCUCCGGCUGCCGAGUGAUGACAUCUUGCCCCUGGGCAAGGACUCGGCACCCCUGAGUGACCCCAUCACAGGCAAGCCCUACGUGCCCCUGUCAGAAGCAGAGGAGGUGCGUCUGAGCCAGAACCUGCUCGAGCUGUGGCGGAGGCGAGGGCCCGUGUGGCAGGAGGCCCCCCAGCUGCCUGUGGACCCACAUCGGGACACCAUCCUCAACGCCAUUGAACAGCACCCGGUGGUGGUCAUCUCUGGGGACACGGGCUGUGGGAAAACCACGCGCAUCCCCCAGCUACUGCUGGAGCGCUACGUGACCGAGGGCCGCGGUGCCUGCUGCAAUGUCAUCAUCACGCAACCCCGCCGCAUCUCUGCCGUGUCUGUGGCACAGCGGGUCAGCCAUGAACUGGGCCCCUCCCUGCGGCGGAACGUGGGCUUCCAGGUGCGGCUGGAAAGCAAGCCCCCUGCCCGUGGCGGCGCCCUGCUCUUCUGCACUGUGGGCAUCCUGCUGCGGAAGCUUCAGAGCAACCCCGGCCUGGAGGGUGUGAGCCACAUCAUUGUGGACGAGGUACACGAGCGGGACGUGAACACAGACUUCCUGCUCAUCCUGCUCAAGGGCCUGCAGCGGCUCAACCCAGGGCUGCGGCUGGUGCUCAUGAGCGCCACGGGCGACAACGCACGCUUUGCCCGCUACUUUGGCGGCUGUCCCGUCGUCAAGGUGCCUGGCUUCAUGUACCCCGUCAAAGAGCACUACCUGGAGGACGUGCUGGCCAAGCUGGGCAAGCACCAGUACCCACAGCGGCACCGGCCCCACGAGUCUGAGGAUGAAUGUGCGCUCGAUCUGGACCUCGUGGCGGAUCUGGUUCUACACGUCGAUGCCCAUGGCGAGCCAGGUGGGAUCCUCUGCUUCCUGCCCGGCUGGCAGGAGAUCAGAGGGGUGCAGCAGCGCCUCCAGGAGGCUCUGGGCGCGCUGGAGAGCAAGUACCUCAUCCUGCCAGUGCACUCCAACAUCCCCAUGAUGGACCAGAAGGCCAUAUUCCAGCAGCCCCCUGUGGGGGUGCGCAAGAUUGUCCUGGCCACCAACAUCGCAGAGACCUCCAUCACUGUCAAUGACAUCGUGCACGUGGUGGACAGCGGCCUGCACAAGGAGGAGCGCUACGACCUCAAGACCAAGGUGUCCUGCCUGGAAACCGUGUGGGUGUCCCGGGCUAAUGUGAUCCAGCGGCGGGGCCGUGCCGGCCGCUGCCAGUCAGGCUUUGCCUACCAUCUGUUUCCACGGAGCCGCCUGGAGAAAAUGGCCCCGUUCCAGGUGCCAGAGAUCCUACGCACGCCCCUCGAGAACCUGGUGCUGCAGGCCAAAGUCCACAUGCCAGAGAAGACGGCAGUCGAGUUCCUUUCCAAGGCUGUGGACAGUCCGAACAUCAAGGCCGUGGACGAAGCCGUGAUCCUGCUCCAGGAGAUCGGGGUGCUGGACCAGCGCGAGUACCUGACCGCCCUGGGGCAGCGCCUGGCCCACAUCUCCACCGACCCCCGGCUGGCCAAGGCCAUCGUGCUGGCCGCCAUCUUCCGCUGCCUGCACCCGCUGCUGGUGGUCGUCUCCUGCCUGACCCGGGACCCCUUCAGCAGCAGCCUGCAGAACCGCGCCGAGGUGGACAAGGUGAAGGCGCUGCUGAGCCAUGACAGCGGCAGCGACCACCUGGCCUUCGUGCGGGCAGUGGCUGGCUGGGAGGAGGUGCUGCGCUGGCAGGACCGCGGCUGCCGCGAGAACUACCUGGAGGAGAACCUGCUCUAUGCGCCCAGCCUGCGCUUCAUCCACGGGCUCGUCAAGCAGUUCUCAGAGAACAUCUACGAGGCCUUCCUGGUGGGCCGGCCGUCGGACUGCACCCUGGCGUCGGCACAGUGCAACGAGUACAGCGCCGAGGAGGAGCUGGUGAAGGGCGUGUUGAUGGCGGGGCUCUACCCCAACCUCAUCCAGGUGAGGCAGGGCAAGGUGACCCGGCAAGGCAAGUUCAAGCCCAACAGCGUCACGUAUAGGACCAAAUCUGGCAACAUCCUGCUGCACAAGUCCACCAUCAACAGGGAGGCCACUCGGCUGCGGAGCCGCUGGCUCACCUACUUCAUGGCCGUCAAGUCCAACGGCAGUGUCUUUGUGCGGGACUCGUCGCAGGUCCACCCGCUGGCCGUUCUGCUGCUCACCGACGGGGACGUGCACGUGCGCGAUGACGGGCGCCGGGCCACCAUCUCACUGAGCGACAGCGACCUCUUGCGGCUGGAGGGGGACUCGCGCACGGUGCGGCUGCUGCGGGAACUGCGCCGGGCGCUGGGCCGCAUGGUGGAGCGCAGCCUGCGCGGCGAGCUGGCCGCGCUGCCAGCCCCCGUGCAGCAGGAGCACGGGCAGCUGCUGGCGCUGCUGGCGGAGCUGCUGCGCGGGCCCUGCGGCAGCUUCGAUGUGCGCAAGACGGCUGACGACUGACGCGCGGGCGUGUACAGGGUGCAGAUGUUUAUUAGAAUAAAGUUCUAUUUAUCCCUCGUAAGCUUCGCCGUCCACUGGGCGCCCAGGGGCUCGGGAACACUGGGCUGAGCCCCCACCUGCCCCCAGCUGCAGCCGUGGGGUGCCACUGCCCUGCCAGGGUGGGGACCGGGAGGGCCUCGGGCCCCGGGGCAAGGGGCGGGGCUCGCGCUGGACUCACACAAGCCAGGACACAGACGCCACCAGGCUGGGUGGGACACUGCGAGCUUUAUUUACUCGGAGUCAUUACAACAGUCUCAAACGGACAACACAGGUCACACUGGGCCACCAGCCCCACAGAGCGGCACCGGCCGGGGUCCACCUGUGACAAGCCCGCCCGCCCCCAGCCAGAGCCGCACAGCCGGCGGGCAGGCUCACGGACCUCGUGGCCAGUGACCGCGGGCCCCGUGCUGUGCCCUCACGCCGCACCACUUCCUUCUCCCCCAGCUCCACCUCACCCCUUGCUCCUCCUGAACAAAUGCGCGCCCUGCUGCCCUGGCGUGGCCGAAGUGGUCAGCGUGCGGCGGCUCCGGCUCAGGGAGCCCUUUGUCCACGAGAUGCUGCAACAUCCGAUCCAGGGAAUGAGACACAGAUGCCAAGCCAGCCUCUUGGUUAGAGAAGAGAAGCAGCACACGCACGAAGUGCCAGAACCAAAGCCCACACUGACCAGCCCUACAUGCUCACCAGCCGCAGUCCCUCACCACCUCCGCAUCGGGCAGAACGCCCCAGCCUGACUACUGGCCAGGGCCUGAGGACCUCCCCCAUCCCCUUAACACCUACUGAGGACUUUCGCUUAGAC